rnacentral:rRNA from 1 species
GAUGAACGCUGGCGGCGUGCCUAAUACAUGCAAGUCGAGCGAACGGACGAGAAGCUUGCUUCUCUGAUGUUAGCGGCGGACGGGUGAGUAACACGUGGAUAACCUACCUAUAAGACUGGGAUAACUUCGGGAAACCGUAGCUAAUACCGGAUAAUAUUUUGAACCGCAUGGUUCAAAAGUGAAAGACGGUCUUGCUGUCACUUAUAGAUGGAUCCGCGCUGCAUUAGCUAGUUGGUAAGGUAACGGCUUACCAAGGCAACGAUGCAUAGCCGACCUGAGAGGGUGAUCGGCCACACUGGAACUGAGACACCGUCCAGACUCCUACGGGAGGCAGCAGUAGGGAGUCUUCCGCAAUGGGCGAAAGCCUGACGGAGCAACGCCGCGUGAGUGAUGAAGGUCUUCGGGUCGUAAAACUCUGUUAUUAGGGGAGAACAUAUGUGUAAGUAACUGUGCACAUCUUGACGGUACCUAAUCAGAAAGCCACGGCUAACUACGUG